AUGGUGAUAUGCAUCCCGGUGAUCACCAAGGAGAAUUACCCUCUCUACAUCCGCAGCACCCCCACGGAGAAAGAGCUGAGUUUCCAGUACAUGGUGCACACAUCUCUGGAUGUGGUGGAUGAGAAGAUCUCCUCAAUGGGGAAGGCCUUGGUCAACCAGAGAGAGGUCUAUCUGGACCUGCUCUACCCCACAGAGGACUACAAGGGGCUACACUACCAUCUCCAAGGUGAAGUUUGUCAUGGUGGUGAAUUCCUCCAACACAGCUCUUCGAGACAAUGAAAUUCACAGGAUGUUCUGGAAGCUGCACAACUCCUACAUAGAUGUGAUGUGCAACCCCUUCUGUAACCCG
rnacentral:lncRNA from 1 species